GAGGCGGAGCAGGAGCGCCAAGCGCGGGGGCGUCACCGAGGAGCAGAUCCUGGAGUACAUGUCCAAGAAGGCGCAGAAGAAGGCCGAGAAGGUGGCCAAGAAGAUGAAGGCCAACGCGGUGUCGGGCUACUCCAACGAUUCCAACCCUUUUGGCGAUCCCAACCUCACAGAGAAGUGCAGAUUGUAUAAGAUGGGAAAUGGACAACUCCAACCAUUCCAAACCAGUU